CUCUGAUUGGUUGGUUUAAGCCAACCAAUGAGAGUGCUCUGACAGGUAAAUGAAGAGACUGACAGGUAAGUCUGUUACAGGUGCUCAGAGUAAAUUUGACACAGCUUUGAAAAAUUCCAAAGAACUUUCCCACACGGUGUAAAAUGACUUGGAGCACUCUGGUUGGUUGGAUUCCAAACCAACCAAUCCGAGUGCUGUGACAGGUAAAUGUAGAGACUUACCGGUCAGUCUCUUCAUUUACCUGUCUGAGCACUCUCAUUAUUUUGACAUUUAU